GGCCGUGUGGCUCAAUGGCAGAGCGUCUGACUACGACUGCUGCAGUCUGUGCAAAAAUGUGUAAUCAGAAGGUCGCAGGUUCGACCCCUGUCUCGGUCA